rnacentral:rRNA from 1 species
CCAAAAGCGAAGGCAAUCUUCUGGAACACUACUACGCUGAGGCGCGAAAGCGUGGGGAGCAAACAGAUUAGAUACCCUGGUAGUCCACGCAGUAACGAUGAAUGUUAGUCGUCGGGUAGCUAGUCUAUUCGGUGAUGCAGCUAACGCAUUAAACAUUCCGCUUGGGGAGUACGGUCGCAAGAUUAAAACUCAAAGGAAUAGACGGGGACCCGCACAAGUGGUGGAGCAUGUGGUUUAAUUCGAAGAUACGCGAAGAACCUUACCUAGCCUUGACAUAUAUUAGAACAUUUUAGAGAUAGAAUGGUGCCUUCGGGAGCUUUUAUACAGGUGCUGCACGGCUGUCGUCAGCUCGUGUCGUGAGAUGUUGGGUUAAGUCCCGCAACGAGCGCAACCCUCGUCACUAGUUACUAACGGUUCGGCCGAGGACUCUAGUGAGACUGCCUUCGCAAGGAGGAGGAAGGUGAGGACGACGUCAAGUCAUCAUGGCCCUUACGGCUAGGGCAACACACGUGCUACAAUGGUUGGGACAAUGAGACGCAAUACCGCGAGGUGGAGCAAAUCUAUAAACCCAAUCUCAGUUCGGAUUGUUCUCUGCAACUCGAGAACAUGAAGCUGGAAUCACUAGUAAUCGUAGAUCAGCUAUGCUACGGUGAAUACGUUCCCGGGUCUUGUACUCACCGCCCGUCACACCAUGGGAGUUGAUUUCACCCGAAGCGGGGAAGCUAAACUGGCUACCCUCCACGGUGGAAUUAGCGACUGGGGUGAAGUCGUAACAAGGUAAC